rnacentral:rRNA from 1 species
ACUGGGCUUUAAGACCAAGGGGAAGGAAAAUUAGGACCAGUACCUUGGUAGAAUUAAGGCCCCGGCUUACUUAUGUGCCCAGCAGCCCGGCGUUAUACAUAGGGGGGCAGGCGUUAUCCCGGGAUUAUUGGGGUGUUAAAGGGUGCCGUAGAUGGGAGGAAGCCAAGUUGGGUGUGGAAAUCCCUUCCGCCUUAACCUGAGGAACCUGCAACCCAAAACCUACUUCCCUUUGAGUGUCCGGAGAGGAAAGUGGAAUUCCUAGUGUAGCGGUGAAAUGCGUAGAUAUUAGGAGGAACACCAGUGGCGAAGGCGACUUUCUGGACGAUAACUGACAUUGAGGCACGAAAGUGUGGGGAGCAAACAGGAUUAGAUACCCUGGUAGUCCACACUGUAAACGAUGGAUACUAGGUGUAGGAUGUAUUAAGCAUUCUGUGCCGCCGCUAACGCAUUAAGUAUCCCACCUGGGGAGUACGACCGCAAGGUUGAAACUCAAAGGAAUUGACGGGGGCCCGCACAAGCAGUGGAGUAUGUGGUUCAAUUCGAAGCAACGCGAAGAACCUUACCAGGUCUUGACAUCGGUGUAAAGCCUAAGAGAUUAGGUGUGACUUCGGUCGAUACCAGACAGGUGGUGCAUGGUUGUCGUCAGCUCGUGUCGUGAGAUGUUGGGUUAAGUCCCGCAACGAGCGCAACCCCUAUGGUCAGUUACUAACGCGUGGUGGCGAGGACUCUGACAAGACUGCCGGGGACAACUCGGAGGAAGGUGGGGACGACGUCAAAUCAUCAUGCCCCUUAUGACCUGGGCUACAAACGUGCUACAAUGGUGGUUACAAAGAGGGGCGAGCCCGCAAGGGUAAGCGGAUCUCAAAAAAGCCAUCACAGUUCGGAUUGUGGGCUGCAACCCGCCCACAUGAAGCUGGAGUUGCUAGUAAUCGCGGAUCAGCAUGCCGCGGUGAAUACGUUCCCGGGCCUUGUACACACCGCCCGUCAUACCAUGGGAGUUGGGAGCACCCGAAGCCGGUGAGUUGACCGAGAGGGGACAACCGUCGAAGGUGAGACCGAUGACUGGGGUGAAGUCGUAACAAGGUAG